UGAGUAACACGUGGGAACGUGCCUUUAGGUUCGGAAUAACUCAGGGAAACUUGUGCUAAUACCGAAUGUGCCCUUCGGGGGAAAGAUUUAUCGCCUUUAGAGCGGCCCGCGUCUGAUUAGCUAGUUGGUGAGGUAAAGGCUCACCAAGGCGACGAUCAGUAGCUGGUCUGAGAGGAUGAUCAGCCACAUUGGGACUGAGACACGGCCCAAACUCCUACGGGAGGCAGCAGUGGGGAAUCUUGCGCAAUGGGCGAAAGCCUGACGCAGCCAUGCCGCGUGAAUGAUGAAGGUCUUAGGAUUGUAAAAUUCUUUCACCGGGGACGAUAAUGACGGUACCCGGAGAAGAAGCCCCGGCUAACUUCGUGCCAGCAGCCGCGGUAAUACGAAGGGGGCUAGCGUUGCUCGGAAUUACUGGGCGUAAAGGGAGCGUAGGCGGACAUUUAAGUCAGGGGUGAAAUCCCGGGGCUCAACCUCGGAAUUGCCUUUGAUACUGGGUGUCUUGAGUAUGAGAGAGGUGUGUGGAACUCCGAGUGUAGAGGUGAAAUUCGUAGAUAUUCGGAAGAACACCAGUGGCGAAGGCGACACACUGGCUCAUUACUGACGCUGAGGNCUCGAAAGCGUGGG
rnacentral:rRNA from 1 species